rnacentral:rRNA from 1 species
UACAGAGGUCUCAAGCGUUGUUCGGAUUCAUUGGGCGUAAAGGGUGCGUAGGCGGCGCGGUAAGUCGGGUGUGAAAUCUCGGGGCUUAACUCCGAAACUGCAUUCGAUACUGCCGUGCUUGAGGACUGGAGAGGAGACUGGAAUUUACGGUGUAGCGGUGAAAUGCGUAGAUAUCGUAAGGAAGACCAGUGGCGAAGGCGGGUCUCUGGACAGUUCCUGACGCUGAGGCACGAAAGCGUGGGGAGCAAACAGG